rnacentral:lncRNA from 1 species
AAUUUUUGUAUUUUUAGCCAAGACAAGCAGAUCACUUGAGGUCAGGAGUUCAACAUCAGCCUGGCCAACAUGAUGAAACCUUGUCUUUACUAAAAAUACAAAAAUUAGCUGGGCAUGGUGGCAGGCGCCUGUAAUCCCAGCUACUCAGGAGGCUGAGGCAGGAGAAUUGCUUGAACCCGGGAGGUGGAGGUUGCAGUGAACCAAGAUCGCGGCGCUGCACUCUAGCCUGGGUGACAGAGUCAGACUCCGUCCCAAAAAAACAAACAAACAAAACAAAACAAAAAAAAACAGAAGUUACAAAUGAAUACUCACGGAUAUGUAUAGUUUUAUGUUUGUUUUCUUAGAAACAAAUGUGUUUCUUUGGGUGGGUAAUAUUGUGUUUUACUAUGUUUACCUUUUAUAAAACAUAACCUGUUUAUUUAUAUUCUUUGGCUUUGUUUAUUAAAAAGCAUGAUUUUG